CUCAAUUAGUUCAACUCUAAUAGGUUUUCUCAGAUCUAAGUUUUAAUUUACUCUCUAAUGUUUGAUUGUGUGGUUUUCAUUUCCCACAUCAAGUCAUUGAUAGUAAUUGCAAUCUCUUUGGAAGGGUUGUUGAUUGUAGUGCCAAUCGUGUCUUUAAGGAAGGACAACAGUUGAUUGCAUGUUUGUUGUUAUUCUUUAGGUGAGUCUUUAUUCGUAAUUUUAUCUUGUUGUUGCCUUUAAUCUUUAUUUUGUGGUUUAAUCUUCAGAAUUUUCCUAAUAAAGUGGGUUUUUUCUUUGUUAAAAAUUAUUGAUAUUGAUGUUUUUAUCUUAUUGUAGCUAGUGCAACAAAAAAUAAAUCAAAUCAAGAUCUACUACUUUUAAUUGGUGCUAAGGCGGUGGUGGGCACACUCAUCA
rnacentral:lncRNA from 1 species